AUCGAACGCUGGCGGCAGGCCUAACACAUGCAAGUCGAACGAGUGGCGGACGGGUGAGUAAUGUCUGGGAUACUGCCUGCUGGUGGGGGAUCACUACUGGAAACGGUUGCUAAUACCGCAUACCAUCAGAUGUGCCCAGAUGGGUUUAGCUAGUUGGUGGGGUAACGGGUCACCAGGGCGACGAUCCCUAGCUGGUCUGAGAGGAUGACCAGCCACACUGGAACUGAGACGCGGUCCAGGCUCCUGCGGGAGGCAGCAGUGGGAGAUAUUGCACAAUAGGCGCAAGCCUGAUGCAGCCAUGCCGCGUGUAUGGAGGAGGCCUUCGGGUUGUAAAGUACUUUCAGCGGGGGGGCGUUACCCGCAGAAGAAGCACCGGCUAACUCCGUGCCAGCCGCCGCGGUAAUUC
rnacentral:rRNA from 1 species